UUCAAUGCUUCAGACCAUCAUUCUUCAACUCGUGGAGACAGGGGCAGGAAUGGGGGGCAUCACUAGAGCACUUACCCCCAUGGCCCCGCUCACAUGUGAAAUGUCUUGAUUAGAAAAACACCUGAAUCAGAUUUGGCUUCCUUGGGUUCUCAUAGCUACUGUCAGUCUCUGUCGACUGAGGGGAAUGGUUUAUGGUUGCAGUAAGGUAAUUAAUAGAUAACGUCCAGCAGCCAGGCCAUAAAUCUGCCAAGCUUGAGGCAAAGAGGCCAGCAACUACAGUCAGUGUAAAUACUGAGAGAGUGAAGAAGAGACAAGUCCUGGGGAAGUCCAAAGUGAAGAUACCGGGGAUGCGAUGAUGAGACAGGGCAGGGUUGAAGAUACUCAAUCACAAGCCAGGCUGGCUAGCCUACAAGGACACACGAAAGGUCAACAUUGUUUCCAGAAAGAGCCCUAAGCCACGCACAGCCUUUUAAGCUCCCUUCCCUGGUUCAGGUGCUAGCAAUUAGCCCUCCGACUCCUGGGAGCUUGUAGCCUUAAACCACCAGAAGCCUGCAUUGCUCUGCUACUCGCAGGAAUCUUCGCUCUGCAGGGAGUGGGGGAGAGGGGCUCCUGUUCACUCCUUGAGUCUAACUGAAGGGCUCCAGCUGUAUCUUGAACAUCUUCCAGUCGUGAAAUCUGAAUAAAAAUUUAUAUUAAAAAAAAAAACCCUAUUCAUAGGGUCGCCAUAAGUUGGGAUCGACUUCAAGGCAGUCCAUUUCCAUUUCCACCUCUGCUAUAGACAAAUGGAGAAGGGACAGAGAAUGAAGGAAGCUUUUCCACUCUGCUGCUGUAGAAGAAACGGGGAGACUUGGAACCCUUCUUUGCUCUUGGUUGGUGCAUCGUAGUUGUAAAAUUGGGUAAAAAAAGUAAAAAUUGUAAACAACAACAACACCCACCAACCCUCCAAAGUAUUUCCCCCCUCAUGCUUUGGUUUGAGACGUGCUGGCCAGCUGCCCCAGGAAGCCCUGCCAUGGUGCUGAAUGAAUUCUCCAUAUAUUUCUGUACAAAAGUGCAAAGUAAGGGUCUCAUGCCUAGCACAGAGGCCUUUCAUUCUCAGGCCUGGCUAGGGGUGAAUGAGUCUGCCGACUUUCUCUCAAUUUCUUAUUUUCCCCCCAGUCUUCAGUUCGGUUUACCCGUUUCCACAUCUGUUUGUGAUUAUCGUGUUUAACAUCCUUAUGAAAAUUCAA